rnacentral:misc_RNA from 1 species
GCUUUUGGGAAUAUUGCUAAUUCAUCUGCUACUUCCAUCAAUAUAGAAUUUCAACAGGUAUAAAUAACGAAAAAGAUACAUAGUAGACACCAUGGAUCCCAUUGAAUUUCAUUCAGAAGAGGAAUCGUAUUGAUCCUUAUUAAAGGAAGACAGAUCAAUCAAGCCUGUUCAAACAGGAACAAGUCAAUUAAAGGGCAUUUUAGUAGCAAUUGGAGUUAUGAAUUUAAAAUUUUUAGUGGAC